UACGUAGGGGGCGAGCGUUAUCCGGAUUCACUGGGUGUAAAGGGAGCGUAGACGGCCAUGCAAGCCAGGGGUGAAAGCCCGGGGCUCAACCCCGGGACUGCAUUGGAAACUGUCGCGCUCGAGUGUCGGAGAGGUAAGUGGAAUUCCUAGUGUAGCGGUGAAAUGCGUAGAUAUUAGGAGGAACACCAGUGGCGAAGGCGGCUUACUGGACGACAACUGACGCUGAGGCUCGAAAGCGUGGGGAGCAAACAGG
rnacentral:rRNA from 1 species